AAUAAAGUGCCUGAACUAAAGGGUUAUCUUGAUAGGAUAAAUAAUGUAAUUUUCUUACCUUUAUUA
rnacentral:tRNA from 1 species